UACGGAGGGUGCAAACGUUGCUCGGAAUCAUUGGGCGUAAAGCGCACGUAGGCGGUCUGUUAUGUCGGAUGUGAAAGCCCUUGGCUCAACUGAGGAAGUGCAUCCGAAACUGGCAGGCUAGAGUACUAAAGAGGAUCGCGGAAUUCCCGGUGUAGAGGUGAAAUUCGUAGAUAUCGGGAGGAACACCGGUGGCGAAGGCGGCGAUCUGGGUAGAUACUGACGCUGAGGUGCGAAAGCCAGGGGAGCAAACGGG
rnacentral:rRNA from 1 species